rnacentral:tRNA from 1 species
CUAGAGCGAAAGCUUGGUGAGCACCUACAACCUAUCGGUUGUUAAGCCAGACAGCGGGUCUGUAGCUCAGCUGGUUAGAGCACCGUCUUGAUAAGGCGGGGGUCGUUGGUUCGAACCCAACCAGACCCACCAAUCAUGGGGGCAUAGCUCAGCUGGGAGAGCACCUGCUUUGCAAGCAGGGGGUCGUCGGUUCGAUCCCGUCUGCCUCCACCAAAAGCCGUUACUCAAGUCGCCGCAGGAUGCGGUGGUUUCGGUAACAGUUUUUACUGUUCAGGCUGUUGGAUCUUUAAAAAUUCGGAGAAGUAAAGUAAUGCGUUCCUCAGGAAUGGGGAGCGCAUGGGUUGUGAUUGUAUCUUCUACGUUUCCGUACUUUGAACCAGCGCGGAAACGAGAACACGAGUUGCUUGCUGUAUGACGUGUUGCCGAGGAAUCGGAGUUCAGCGUUAUAGGGUCAAGUGACUAAGUGCAUGUG